GUUGGAAUUUGGAGUAUUGUGGGCAGUUUUGGUCACCGGAUUACAGGAAGGAUAUUAAUAAGGUUGAAAGAGUGCAGAGUAUUGAGUAUAAGAGUUGGAAUUUGGAGUAUUGUGGGCAGUUUUGGUACAGGAAGGAUAUUAAUAAGGUUGAAAGAGUGCAGAGUAUUGAGUAUACGAGUUGGAAUUUGGAGUAUUGUGGGUGGUUUUGGUCACCGGAUUACAGGAAGGAUAUUAAUAAGGUUGAAUGAGUGCAGAGUAUUGAGUAUAAGAGUUGGAAUUUGGAGUAUUGUGGGCAGUUUUGGUCACCGGAUUACAGGAAGGAUAUUAAUAAGGUUGAAAGAGUGCAGAGUAUUGAGUAUAAGAGUUGGAAUUUGGAGUAUUGUGGGCAGUUUUGGUCACCGGAUUACAGGAAGGAUAUUAAUAAGGUUGAAAGAGUGCAGAGUAUUGAGUAUAAGAGUUGGAAUUUGGAGUAUUGUGGGCAGUUUUGGUCACUGGACUACAUGAAGGAUAUUAAUAAGGUUGAAAGAGUGCAGAGUAUUGAGUAUAAGAGUUGGAAUUUGGAGUAUUGUGGGCAGUUUUGGUCACCGGAUUACAGGAAGGAUAUUAAUAAGGUUGAAAGAGUGCAGAGUAUUGAGUAUAAGAGUUGGAAUUUGGAGUAUUGUGGGCAGUUUUGGUACAGGAAGGAUAUUAAUAAGGUUGAAAGAGUGCAGAGUAUUGAGUAUAGGAGUUGGAAUUUGGAGUAUUGUGGGCAGUUUUGGUCACCGGAUUACAGGAAGGAUAUUAAUAAGGUUGAAAGAGUGC